UCCUUCUCUGUCCUCACAGCACCCUUUUUCUUCCGCACUUUCUUUGGAGGCUCCAUCUUGGCUGCUGCAGAUGUCGAUGGCCCCUGAUCUCCAAGGUCAACGCUCCCCAAUAGCCCAUGCUUCCGCUUGCGAUUCGUUGAACAGUCCCUGAUUCUCCUCUGCUUCUUUUUUGUCGACAGAUUUAAAUACCCAAACAGCCUUCCCGGCCCAAACGUCAUAUUUCUAAAAUCAGGAAACCUUGGCUGACUUCGUCUCAUAACGGCUCUGUGGAUCUCCCUAGAACCCACGUCUUCCUUUUGGGUAGAAAAAGAUGAACCGCUAGCACUGAU
rnacentral:lncRNA from 1 species